GACGAACGCUGGCGGCGUGCUUAACACAUGCAAGUCGAACGGAAAGGCCCUGCUUUUGUGGGGUGCUCGAGUGGCGAACGGGUGAGUAACACGUGAGUAACCUGCCCUUGACUUUGGGAUAACUUCAGGAAACUGGGGCUAAUACCGGAUAGGAGCUCCUGCUGCAUGGUGGGGGUUGGAAAGUUUCGGCGGUUGGGGAUGGACUCGCGGCUUAUCAGCUUGUUGGUGGGGUAGUGGCUUACCAAGGCUUUGACGGGUAGCCGGCCUGAGAGGGUGACCGGCCACAUUGGGACUGAGAGACGGCCCAGACUCCUACGGGAGACAGCAGUGGGGAAUAUGGCACAAUGGGCGGAAGCCUGAUGCAGCAACGCCGCGUGCGGGAUGACGGCCUUCGGGUUGUAAACCGCUUUCGCCUGUGACGAAGCGUGAGUGACGGUAAUGGGUAAAGAAGCACCGGCUAACUACGUG
rnacentral:rRNA from 1 species